rnacentral:snRNA from 1 species
GGAUGUGAGGCCAAUCUAGCUUCUAUAUCUUUUCCAACUUAUCGGUCACCAGGGUUGGCUCAGCUGAGCUGGCCAGCGAGGUGGGUGUCCCUUUCCCACCUAAGGACUCCUCGUGUGGCCCUCCUGAGGCAGCACACUUGGUGGAAGAGAAGGACAGCGGUUUGGCCAAGGAUGCACACAGUGGUGCUAGAACCUGCUAGAACCUCCAAACACACGGACAGGCUCUCCCCAGCAGAAGGUGUGGGAGGCCCCAGCCUGUCUGGGCUUACU